GGAGGCGUGGCGGAAUCGGUAUACGCGGCGGAUUCAAAAUCCGCUUCCCAUCCGGGAGUGAGGGUUCGAGUCCCUCCGCCUCUACCC
rnacentral:tRNA from 1 species